UACGGGGGGGGCAAGCGUUGUUCGGAAUUACUGGGCGUAAAGGGCGCGUAGGCGGCCGCCUAAGUCAGACGUGAAAUCCCUCGGCUCAACCGGGGAACUGCGUCUGAUACUGGGUGGCUUGAAUCCGGGAGAGGGAUGCGGAAUUCCAGGUGUAGCGGUGAAAUGCGUAGAUAUCUGGAGGAACACCGGUGGCGAAGGCGGCAUCCUGGACCGGUACUGACGCUGAUGCGCGAAAGCGUGGGGAGCAAACAGG
rnacentral:rRNA from 1 species